AGCGCCGUUCGCGCCUUCCCGCGGCCGCUCGGCUCUUUCCGCCUCCCCCUCCGGGGCGCUUCGUUCGUUUCCGCGGCCGCUCGGCUCUUUCCGCGGGGGCCGGCGGCGCGCUCGGCCGUUCCCGCCGCCCGCCGCGCGCUCGGCGGUUUCCGUGAGCGCUCGGCGGUUUCCGUGCGGGCCGCGGCGCGCUCGGCGCUUGCUCCCUGGCUGGCGCUCCUCAGUCGGCCGCUGCCUGCCUGUCGCCGGGCUGGGAGCGCCUGUGUGUGCGCGAGUGACGCGGCGGAGGUGUAGUUUGACGCGGUGUGUUACGUGGGGGAGAGAAUAAAACUGCGGCGAGAGCCCGGGCGCGAACGAAAGCAGUGACGGAGCAGCCUGGUAACCGGCCCUUCCGAAAGCAGAAAUGCUCUACUGGUGGUUUUGCUCCAGCUCUGGAGAGGUGUGGUGCUGCUGGGUAGAGAGAAGCCUGAGUAACUGGGCAGCACAGAGCGGUACACAGCAUUGGUAUUGUGGCUGUGGAGGUAACUAAAUGACCAUGGAAUCUGGAGCAGAGAACCAGCAGAGUGGAGAUGCAGCCGUUACAGAGGCAGAAACCCAACAGAUGACAGUACAGGCACAACCACAGAUUGCAACGUUAGCCCAGGUAUCUAUGCCAGCAGCUCACGCAACGUCUUCUGCACCCACGGUGACCUUAGUUCAGCUGCCCAAUGGGCAGACGGUUCAAGUGCAUGGAGUAAUUCAGGCUGCCCAGCCAUCAGUUAUUCAGUCUCCACAGGUCCAGACAGUUCAGAUCUCCACUAUAGCAGAAAGUGAAGAUUCACAGGAAUCAGUGGACAGUGUCACAGAUUCACAGAAACGGAGAGAAAUUCUUUCCAGACGACCGUCCUACAGAAAAAUUUUGAAUGACUUGUCUUCAGACGCCCCAGGAGUGCCAAGGAUCGAAGAAGAAAAGUCUGAAGAGGAAACAGCAGCACCUGCCAUCGCCACUGUUACGGUGCCAACUCCCAUUUACCAAACCAGCAGUGGGCAGUACAUUGCUAUUACACAAGGAGGAGCGAUACAGUUGUCUAACAAUGGCACAGAUGGCGUACAAGGUCUUCAGACAUUGACUAUGACCAACGCAGCUGCAACCCAACCUGGCACCACCAUUUUACAGUAUGCACAGACCACAGAUGGACAACAGAUACUUGUACCCAGCAACCAAGUCGUCGUACAAGCUGCCUCAGGAGAUGUGCAGACCUACCAGAUUCGCACCGCCCCUACCAGCACCAUUGCACCAGGAGUAGUCAUGGCAUCAUCUCCAGCACUUCCAACCCAGCCAGCAGAAGAGGCUGCACGGAAGAGAGAAGUGCGUCUAAUGAAGAACAGAGAGGCAGCACGUGAAUGUCGCAGGAAGAAAAAGGAGUAUGUGAAAUGUCUAGAAAAUCGAGUGGCUGUGCUUGAAAACCAAAACAAGACAUUGAUUGAGGAGUUAAAAGCACUUAAGGACCUUUACUGCCACAAAUCAGAUUAAUUUUGGAUUCCCAUUUUCACUUGUCCAGGUGGGAUAGAGACUGGUUCUGGCUAUACCCAGAGAGACAAAGUAAACUUUUUAUUUUCUAAACAUUUCUUUUUUUCUAUGCGCAAAACUGCCUGAAGCAACUACAGAAUAUACUUCAUCUGUGCUUUGCAUCAAACUGUGAAUGUUCAAAUACUUGCCUCCAGUUCUCCCCCUACAAGAUUAUUUUCAUCGUCAAAUAAUCUCAGCGUGAAGAACAGGCUCCUUUCUCAUCUCCCCGUCCUCUUCAAGGAAUAGCAGUGGUCAUUUGGGAAGUUACUGUGGGGGAGGGUCCUUUUGUAAUGAUUUCAAGAAUUUGUGCUGAGUUCUUUCCAUUGCCUUAGAGACAGAACUACCCCAGCCUCUUGGCCCAGAGAGCUGUGGGCCGGCAUACAUGGAGCACAUGUGGUGCGAUGAAGAAGCAGCGGUUGCCAAAUUGGUUUCACAUACUCAUUUUAAACUAUAAAAAUACACGUCUUAAGUGGCACACCAAAUGAAAGGUACUUCACAGUCACGUUCUGUGUGUGGAGCUAACACACCUAUUUUAAACUAGCACAGGAGGGGUUCUGAUGUGUAAUCUGCAUUAGUAGUCCCUCCUGGACUAGUGAAAACUCCAUUCCACAGAAACAAGUGGAUUGAAAUGAGCUUCACUGGUCAGUUGUUGCUUCUUGCAGCAUAUGUGUGCAAGUGUGUUCAGCAUUUUGAAUGCACAGAAAGAAAACACCAGCUUCAUAGGUUAUUAGUUGGCAAAUGAUAUUUAGAUGGGGAAGGAAUUCAGAAUUAAAAAGGUACAAUAGUGACGUUUUGAAAACAGAUGUGUAGUAAGCAAGGGUAACGCACGAAAGCACUACCUAUGUGUAUGCAGAACAACUAAGCAGUUGAAGCAUGGCCAACUCCACAUACAUAUUCUCUGAUGGUUAGUCCCAAGUCCUCUCAAGCGAUCAGGUAUUUCUGUUUCCCUACCACUAUCUUAUGUAAUGGAAAUUAUUGUACUUAAUGGAAACAUUGUCCUGGUUUGCUAGAUUAUUUUUCAAACUUUGAGGCUGCUUUCCACCCGUAAAUUAAAUUGCAGUAUGGUAACUAUGAGGACAACCUCAAAUAUCGAAGAGAACUUCAAACAUGAAUAUUCCAACUGGCUUCUGCUUCGCAAGAGACAAUAUUAUUUGAACUUUCCCAGGCUAAACAAAUUCUUAAUUUAUUCAGAGGAUUUUUUCAUGCAAAGGGUCAGAUUUACCAAGUAGUUUAUUCAUGUAAGUAAAAUUACUUGUGUGCCUCAGACAUUUGCAAAAUCAAACUUUUUGUGUGUACUGAGGAAACAUGAUCUUUCCCAGAUUCACAUUGUUAAAAAGGUAGAUCAUGUUAAAAAUAACUACGCAGCGUUAGGACUUCCACUGUGUGUCAAAAAGAAUCAAGCUCAGUUUGUUUACUGGCCCUCUGAAGCCAGUCUCUUCAUUUAUCAACUUGGGUCAUUUGAUGGAGUAUGUUUACUUUGGGCCUUUGGUCCAACUUUUAUGUAUAGAGACAUAUGAAUAAGACUCUGAUCUGUACUAAUGCCUUGCCUAGCAAAGUAUUAGCUAAUAUUUUUUUCCCAUUUGCUCUAUCUGUUUUUAAGAUAAAUUUCAAACAUGAGCUUCUAAAAGGUUAUACAAUCAAUGUGACGUAAGAAGAACUUUUGCAAGACUCUUGAUAGUUGAGUCUCAAACAGCUAAGCAGUAUUAAAAGUUCUAGUUUUCUCAUUUGAGAGGGCAUUCAGUUUCCAAGAGACUUUAAAAGGAGCAGGGUUAAACUUGUAGCAUUAUUGUUAAAUCUAGAGUUAUCAAUAAUUUCAAAUUGUUUGUAUUUCAAAUAAGAGAAAAUAAGUAUCAGAAUUAUGAAAGAAUUCAUUUUCAAUUUAAGUUUUGAGGGGGGUUAUAAAUGAUCUAUUUUUAUCUGUCAUGGAGAAUUGAUUUUCAUGUUUUUAUUUAAUGGAAAAUGAAUUUAUGAGUUUAGCAAUGCAAAUUUAAAGAAGACCCUAAAUUCUCAGUAGUGCUUUUCUAACAGUUGUUUGAUUCUUAAAGACAGAGAAUACUGCAUGUAUGACGGUUACCAGUUCUUCAGAACUAGCGAUAGAAGUAGACUGUUGAUAAUGCAGGAGUAAUUCUUGUAAAAUAUUUAACUUUAUGAUGGCCUAAUUUACACAGUUACAUGGGAUGGUUUCUCCAGCUUUGAGGAACAUGAAAAAGAUGUACAUUCCUACAUGAAGGCUUUUUCUUUUGCGGAACCAUCUGUCUGCAAAAGCUUGAGGUUUUGUACCGAACCUGCAUGAGGCUAGCUGAGAUCUGGGAGCUGUUCCUAGCAGGUCAUGAGCACUCACUGGUAGUCACGCAGCACAAAGCCUGGCAGCUGAAUGGACAGGGGAGCCUAAAGCAGUUCCUGGACAUGGUUCUUCAGUUGAAGCAAAUUUGUGAGGCAGUGAGAGGAGAACUGCAUUACCAGUUUGUCUGUGCGUGGUCUGUGAGUAGUCUAUCGUGUUAUUAGUGUAGACUGCAUUAGCAACUAGCAUUUCAUUGAGAAGAAGAACAUUAUUUUAAAGUACGUAGGGAUUUGCAAGAAUCUUUAUUUUUAUUUAUGCUGCACUGAGGAUUUAGGGACUUGAAUUUCUUUAAUGGAAAUUUUAAAUGAUAUUGAUAAAAAAAUGUAUUAGGCCAAGUACAAGGCUGGCUAGGGUUACCCAUACAUACUUUACUACUCAUAGCGACCCAAAAAGGGAAAGGAUACGAUACAGGCAUUCAUUCAUGUGUUACUUACAAAGUAGUGAGGUUGGGGUAGUCAGCUUCUAUAAACUAAGGCCAUUUGGAAGUAGAACAGCAAUUAUGCUGGCAGGGGGGAGGGAAGGUUAGUUUUAUAUCUCACGGUUGUGAGUUUUCAAGAAUUGAUAGCCUGUUUUACCUGAAGAGAGGGUUAGAAAGGGCUAGAUCCAUUAUGUUCAUAAUAAACAAGAAUUGAUUUGAAAUAUAAUUUUUGUAAUGUCAUUAUUUUGCAAAACAACAGCACCAGUCAGGCAGUUAAGAUAUUGUCAGAGGUGCUCUUUUAAUUUAGAUAUUCUUGGAAAAUACAUAUGUAUAAUAUAUGUACAUAUAUAUAUAUAUACACACAGUAUAUAAUCUACAGCUCUGAGAGCUUUUAAGUCAGGAAUGCUGAGUAUUAUAGUAUAUGGAGGUCAGAAAAAAUUUUUACUUCUCUGUGUGUGUCUGAGUGUGUGUGGAUGUGUGCGCGUGUGUGAAAGCUUCCCCUGCCCCAGUAGUUCUGGGCUGCAUUAUUCUAGCGCUUAUUACUGAUUUGUUUUGUGCUGUUUCUCAGUUAUCCAUUUUCAAGAGUUUUAUUUCAUCUUUCAUGAUUUUUGUGAGUUGGUUUGUUUUUAUUUUUUAUUUUUUGAUGGAGAUUUUUGAAAUGAUAUAAACAGUUGUUUUACAACAACUGUCACCCUGCAGAAUAAUUCACUUUUGUGCUUUUUCUCUUUGGCAGCUAUAUAUCAAAGGCAGAUCAAUUGGAAAGGUUGUUAAGGUGUUGUUUUUGAAAGGAACCACUGGUAAGACUUCUGUUUUCCUCCUGGGGUAGUGUCUGUGCAUUUUUAUUUAAGCAGUGAUUUCACCAGUGCAUCAGAUAGUUGCCAGCACCAUUGCUUGUAUCUGAAAGCACAAUUUUAGCCUGUCGUUGUCAGGACUGUACAGACACCUAUAGGUUCUGGCUCUUGUAUAGUUCAUGUUUGUUGCAGACCACUGUCUUCUCUGGUACUUUACAUUGAUCAGAAAACUGGUGGGGUGUUUGGAAUCAUUAAGAGGCUCAGGAAAAAAAAAAAGUUAGAUUUAAUAAGGAAAAAGAGCCCUAAUAGUUUCUGAUCUAAAUUUGUACUACAGUUUUGUUUUGUUUUGUUUUUUAAAUCCGGGCUUCCAGUAAACAGCAGCUGCAAGUAGUCAUCUAUUAGUGAAAACUGGCCUCUGCUUUUUUUUUUUUAAUUUUAGACAGAUAGCCAGUGCUUUUUUGUGGGUUAAAGGCUAGUCGCCCCAUCAAAGAAAGUUUGUUAUCAGUGGUUGCAAAUCUGUGACAGAUCAUAGGGGAUUUCAUUGGUUUCCUAAGACCCUGUUUUUAUUGUCUUUUUUUUACCCUGAAGCUGGUUACUGAUGUCACAUUUGCCAAUGAUCUAACCAAAAGGUCAUGUAUUUAUUUUUGUUAUACGGUAUUCUUUGUAAAUGUUUAAUUAAAAUGUGCACUUUUUUUUUUUAAAAAAAAAAAAAAACACAAAGCAGAACAAAAAAAAAAAGAGAGAGAAAUUGGGUUUGCUUGAGAAGCUCCCUGGCACAAUUGCUGUAAUCCUGCCACCUGCACACAACUCACUCCUCUCCCCACAACAGUUGACUCUUUCACCAAUUUAACUUGCUGAUUAGCACCUGGCUUCCAGCAGGCAUUGCUUCAAAAUGGCAGAUCUGAGCUGGCACUACUGAAGACUGGAAAGAAUCAAGUGUAUGGUGUCAUAGCAGUAGGUAUAGGAUGGCUAUCAAAUUAUUUUUAGACAGAUUAGAACUACUUCAGUGACCCCAGGUGAGAAAGGUAAAUUAAUUUGGAAAGAAAGCUAAAUUCUUUCUCAGUCACUUUAUUCCUCUUAAUAUGAAAUGUGGCUGCAAAUUUUAAAAGCUGCAUUCUAAGAAAAUAAAUCAAAAUCAAAAUUACAAUUCUUUGGCACCAGGAAUUAAAGAUGUACUGAUAGUGUGUCACCUUGCUUUAAAAGAAAAAAAGCACAACUAACUUCCUUUUGCAGGAACAAUGACAAUUAGCUACAAUCCUAAAAUCUGUCGCCAUAAGCAGGUUUUAAAAGCAUAUGGUACAUUCGUGAUUCUCAUGUACUGUGCCUGGGAACUCGUUUUCCUGAGCUUUUGAAUUUGCUAUUCGUAAAAGACAGUGAUUUUGCAAAAACCUGAAUGUAUCAUGAAGCUCAGUCACUCUGGGAGGAGCUGGACUGUUAAAGAGAAAUAGGGUGCUGAAAUCCUAUCUGCUGUGUGCUUGCGACAGGUUCGGGUCUGUGGAUGGAUAUGGCUUAAAUCUGUGCAUCUUUCAGAAAAAGGGACCAGAUCCAGUUGGUGAAGGGGGGAUUGCAUUUCAAGUGUUUUGCCUUGGAAUGUAUUUUUUACAUGUAUUUAAGCUUUGGCCUGCAAAGAGAUUUGCUCAGGCUAGUUUGUGUAGCACAAAUUGAAGACAUUGACCUGUUGUGGUGCUGCAAGUGUAGUUUUUGACUUGUGGUGCUCAAUGGAGAGUUUAGGUCUCACUUUCACCAGCAGCAAGGAUGAAAAGCCAGCUGUCAUCAGGAGCUGGGUGCUGGCAGGGGAAGGGCCAGGGAUCGGCCGUAGUGAUCCAUGGUUAGUGCAGUUCCAUAAGCUGACCAUUUACUGUACUCACGACUUGGGAGCAGUCAGUUCAUUGAGUCUCGGCCUCAACUAUGUAUUUCUCUAAAUUAGGGGAUAGCCGAGUGUGAGACUGAGGGGAAGGCAGGCCUUGAGCCAGUCAGUUACCUGGAAAUGGCCGCUGUUAAGAACUGAGGAUGUUUGGAUGCUCUUUACAAGUUGUGUUUUAUCCAGGUGCCACUCCAUUUUUUGUGUGUGUAAUGACGUUUAUUUAUAUUAAAACAUGAAGUUUAAAAAGUUCUAGAACUGCGAGUUUGUAUGAGAUUUGACGCUGUGCUGCUUAUAUGGACUUCUAGGGAUGGGAUGGGGAACAGGACAAGAAGAGGUGCUAGUUGGCAGCCAACCCCUCCACAGACUUGUCCACAGGAUGAUCCGUUUACACUAAUUUAGGGGCAAAACUAGAAAGAAAUAUGUGAAAAGGCAUGUUUUAAGCCAAUGAUGGUGUCUUCUCGUGAUCUGUGGCCUGCUCAUGACAUGUUUCAGGAAUGACUGCAGAAACUCACAUCACGUUCACAUCUAUCCAAUCACUUUCCUGUGCCUUGGAUCCUCUCCCUGGGGGUGAGUAUUCUUUCUCUUGCGAGACUAUUUAUGCACUGCCUCACUACUCACGGACUGAUACACAAACAGGUCCUCCCUCCAGGUGAGUUCACAUCGUGUCACAAAACAGGACUGAUGUAGUGGAACCACCCAAAAGAGAAUCAUGACAAUUUCUCUAGUUCUAGGAUGAACACAGUGACAGAAGGUGCUUGGGCAGGGUGUUAGCAUAAAUGCCGUACAGCUGCUGAAGCAUUAAUGUGCAUCAUCUUGUUCUGCAUCAGAAGCUCACCUGGGACUGAUCGGUCAGGACACCAGAGUUUGCUUCCACCUCAGGCUUGCAGGUGUCCUUGCAGAGAGGUGCUCUCAGUGCUUGCUCACUGGGCAGUUACACCUGUCCUACUUCUGUCCUACAUGUCUGGUGUGGUUCACACCCAGCAUUUGCCUGAAGCUAUGUGUAAUGGGAAUAUAAAAAAGCUGUGUAGCCUGGCUUGGGACAGCAGAAGGCACUGCUCACUGGCUAGUGAAGAAGGGUGUGAGCACUACCGAACAGGAGUGGGACGUAGGUUUCAGAUGAGUUGUUCUCGCAGGUGGUGUCUGCCACUGAACACUGUAGCUUAAAAAGCAACCAGAACUGACGUGCUUGUGGUGGCGGCCUAACAGCAGUAUUCCCAUCCUCCCUUUUUCAUUCUCUCUCCUGGCUCACCCCACAGCUCGCCUUUCCUCAGAUUGCUAGUUAACACUGGCAAAGGGGAUCCCUGCCCUUGUAUUGCUGCAUCAACUCACGUGCUUUACUUCCUUCUGUUGUGAAGGGGCAGAGGGCACCUAAGAAGACAUUGUCCUGUUCUGCCCUGCUGUAGCUUGCCGGCCUCACCCAAUGCAAAAAGAGGGUCUGCAGGCAUCAGGGGACUGCUAUGGGAGGGAGAGGAGGCAAGCUCUGCUUGGUCUGCCUAGAUUUGGGUCUCAUCUCCUGAAUCUAAAGGAGUGCCUGCACCCCAGCGGUGGUCAGAAGACAAGGUGUCCCCUUCAGGGGGUGCCACUUUGUACUUGGAGCUCACUGGGUGGGGAGGGGCCACCAAAAUCUCUGCUCUGCAGCUCAGGGCAAGGCACUCGCCUGAACUGCCAGCUUCUGUCUCAUGCUGUGCUCCACAGGUAUUUACUUAUGAGCAGCAGCAUUUCUUCAGCAGUGCCUUCGAACAUACUCCCUUGGCUUUGCAGAGCUCCUGUGCAACAGCAGCACUGCAGAAGUCAGGCCUGGUCUCUUCUGCCACAUUCCUGCUCUCAGAAGCUACAGGUUGUAACAGCAGCUCUAGGAAAACAUGCUGUGAGCUGCUAAACAUUAGGAAGUGAUACAGUGAAACUGAUCAGUUUUAAAAAUGCAGACCUACUGUCAAAGCAAGGCCUGGAGCAAAACCCCCUUCUGAACAGCACAUAGGUUGUUACACUAGGCUUUCUUCUGUGCUGUUUAGGCUUUUUAAGCAGGUUCCUACUAAGGCAACAGUGUAAGCUGCAGCCUUUUGCGAGAGCUGAGCAUGGCUAGGUAGCAGAUCUUCCCCAUGGGCCAAGUCACGUGCACACCCAGGCACAAGAACCAGCCCUCCGCUUUCUGCCAGCUCCAGCCCCAGGGGAAGCUAAAAUAUGCAGUGACCACAGGCAAGCUAAGAGAGAAGGAAGCACCGGUGGGGAGGAAAAGGAAGAGGAGUGGUGAGAACUUAGUCACAUUCCAAAAACUAUACAGAAACAGAAUGGGGAGGGCUUGUAAUUUUUUUCCCAAACAUUGUUCACUCAGUUGAUAGGACAGAAAAUGCUAUGUCCGGCACAUCAAAACUCAUUCUGUGUUCUGUUUUUAAUUAAAGCUGCUGUCCUCCUUCCCUCAAAGGACUUAAACUCUGGUUUCAGACUGCAGAUUCCCAGCAAGCUGUGUAAGUACUGUUUUAGUGA